GCGCCCGUAGCUCAGCGGUUAGAGCCCCCGACUCAUAAUCGGUCAGACACAGGUUCGAAUCCUGUCGGGCGCAC
rnacentral:tRNA from 1 species